CAGAGUUCGUGCCCUUCGGGGUAGACCUCCCACCCUGUGUAUACCGUGCCUUUGUUGCUUUGGCGGGCCGCCUUAUGGCCACCGGCUUCGGUCGGUGCGCGCCCGCCAGAGAACCCAAACCCUGUAUUAUCGUGUCGUCCGAGCACUAUAUAAUAGUUA
rnacentral:misc_RNA from 1 species